rnacentral:lncRNA from 8 species
AUGGGUAGUUUGGCUAGGCCAAGGGUGAGUCCUAAGCCAGCUCCCCGUGGUUAUUAUGGGGAACGUAUGAAGUGGAGAGCGCCGAGGUAUGCUGAAGUGCACACGAUCUCGCCCAUACGCACGCACAGUCCGGUGCGAGUGAUCCCAGCCCCUUGCAAAUGCUGUGCUAGAGUGGGCAUCCAGCCUGGUAGGAGGAUGCCUGCGCAGCGCAUCUGGUCACCGGUGCACCUCCUAGGUCCAGGCUACCCUACGCCCGCUCUACGCACAGCAACCAUCAGGCCCCUGCACAGCCCAGCUCGCCCUGUACCAGCACUCCGCUCGUACAGGGCUACUAGUUCCAUCCAGCCAGGACGGGUUGUGCAGGAGGUGCGAUCGAGACCGCCUGUGAGUCUUCACGGCCCGGUAUAUCCACAGCCAGCAUCACGCACCAGGCCUCCAGUGCGUCAGCUCAGUCCAACUCAGCCUUUUCCCGCUCCCCGCACUAGCCCUGAGGUGCGUGUCCCCAAACUGGCACUUCCAGCACCAUGCAUCAGGCUUCCAGUGCGGCAGCCCAGUCCAACUCAGCCUGUUCCCGCACUAGUCCUGAGGUGCGUGUCCCCAGGCUGGUACCUCCACUACCAUCCCACGCAUCAGGCUUCCAGUGCGUCAGCCCAGUCCCGAGCUGCCGACGACAGCGCCCUGUCCAGAGUGUACGGCGACAGUACCCCGUCCAGAGUGUCCGGCGACAGUACCCUGUCCAGAGUGUCCGGCGACAGUACCCCGUCCAGAGUGUCCGGCGACAGUACCCCAUGCAGAGUGUCCGGCAACAGUACCCCGUCCAGAGUGUCCGGCGACAGUACCCCGUCCAGAGUGUCCGGCGACAGUGCCCCAUCCAGAGUGUCCGGCGACAGUGCCCCGUCCAGAGUGUCCGGCGACAGUGCCCCGUCCAGAGUGUCCGACGACAGUGCCCCGUCCAGAGUGUCCGACGACAGUGCCCCGUCCAGAGUGUCCGGUGACAGUGCCCCGUCCAGAGUGUCCGGCGACAGUGCCCCGUCCAGAGUGUCCGACGACAGUGCCCCGUCCAGAGUGUUCGGCAACAGUACCCCGUCCAGAGUAUCCGGUAAUAGCGUAUAG